GUGCACAGAGCACAAAGCCAGGCUCUUUUCAGAGUGCCCAGUGACAGGACCAGAGGCAGUGGGCACAAACUGAAACACAGGUGGCUCACUCUGAA
rnacentral:miRNA from 12 species